rnacentral:rRNA from 1 species
GACGAACGCUGGCGGCGUGCUUAACACAUGCAAGUCGAACGGAAAGGCCCUGCUUUUGUGGGGUGCUCGAGUGGCGAACGGGUGAGUAACACGUGAGUAACCUGCCCUUGACUUUGGGAUAACUUCAGGAAACUGGGGCUAAUACCGGAUAGGAGCUCCUGCUGCAUGGUGGGGGUUGGAAAGUUUCGGCGGUUGGGGAUGGACUCGCGGCUUAUCAGCUUGUUGGUGGGGUAUUGGCUUACCAAGGCUUUGACGGGUAGCCGGCCUGAGAGGGUGACCGGCAACAUUGGGACUGAGAUACGGACCAGACGCGUACGGGAGGCAGCAGUGGGGAAUAUGGAACAAUGGGGGGAAGUCUGAUGCAGCAACGCCGCGAGCGGGAUGACGGCCUUCGGGUUGUAAACCGCUUUCGCCUGGGACGAAGCGUGAGUGACGGUAAUGGGUAAAGAAGCACCGGCUAACUACGUG